rnacentral:snRNA from 1 species
CAACUUACCUGCAUCGGGUUCAGGGUGAUCAGCAAUGCUCUGACCCCAGGUGGAGGCUCACCAUUGCACUUCGGCGUGUUUAAGUUUGCGACGGACUCUAAUCGGGUUCGCUCGGUUGUGUAGUGUUUUGCCGCGAUAAACUUGUGCACGUGCUACUA